rnacentral:rRNA from 1 species
UACGUAGGGCGCAAGCGUUAUCCGGAAUUAUUGGGCGUAAAGAGCUCGUAGGCGGUUUGUCGCGUCUGCCGUGAAAGUCCGGGGCUCAACUCCGGAUCUGCGGUGGGUACGGGCAGACUAGAGUGAUGUAGGGGAGACUGGAAUACUUGGUGUAGCAGUGAAAUGCGUAGAUAUCAAGUGGAACACCAGUGGCGAAGGCGAGUCUCUGGACAUUUCCUGACGCUGAGGCACGAAAGCCAGGGGAGCAAACGGG